rnacentral:rRNA from 1 species
CCUACGGGUGGCAGCAGUAGGGAAUCUUCCACAAUGGACGAAAGUCUGAUGGAGCAACGCCGCUUGAGUGAAGAAUGGUUUCUGCUCGUAAAGCUUCGUUGAUAGUGAAGAAAGAUAGAGGUAGUAACUGGCCUUUUUUUGACGGUAAUUACUUAGACAGUCACGGCUAACUCCUUGCCAGCAGCCGCGAUCAUACGUAGGUGUCAUGCGUUGUCCGGAUUUAUUUGGCGUAAAGCGAGUGCAGGCGGUGCAGUAAGUCUGAUGUGAAAGCCUUCGGCUCAACCGGAGAAUUGCAUCCGAAACUGGUGAACUUGAGUGCAGUAGAGGAGAGUGGAACUCCAGGUGUAGCGGUGGAAUGCGUAGAUAUAUGGAAGAACACCAGUGGCGAAGGCGGCUCUCUGGUCUGCAACUGACGCUGAGGCUCGAAAGCAUGGGUAGCGAACAGGAUUAGAUACCCUUGUAGUC